rnacentral:misc_RNA from 1 species
GAUGAAGAACGUAGUGAAAUGCGAUAAGUAAUGUGAAUUGCAGAAUUCAGUGAAUCAUCGAAUCUUUGAACGCACAUUGCGCCCAUUAGUAUUCUAGUGGGCAUGCCUGUUCGAGCGUCAUUAAUUCCACUUAAGCCCUGCUUAGUGUUGGGAAUCUACUCUAGUGGUGCUACCCUGGAGCUACCCCUGAAAGGGGGCUGGCCCGGUAGCUACCCUGUAGUUCCUCAAAGAUAGUGCGCGGAGUUGCGUGGUCCUCUGAGCUUAGUAACUAUACACCUAGCUUUUGAGUGUCCCGCGGCGCCUGCCGUUUAAACCCCAUCUUUUAAUGGUUGACCUCGAAUCAGGUAGGAAUACCCGCUGAACUUAAGCAUAUCAAUAAGCGGAGGA